UGGGGAAUAUUGGACAAUGGGCGCAAGCCUGAUCCAGCCAUGCCGCGUGAGUGACGAAGGCCUUAGGGUUGUAAAGCUCUUUUUGGCGGGGAAGAUAAUGACGGUACCCGCAGAAUAAGCUCCGGCUAACUUCGUGCCAGCAGCAGCGGUAAUACGAGUGCCCCAAGCGUUAUCCGGAAUCAUUGGGCGUAAAGGGUGUGUAGGUGGUAAUGUUAGUCAGCUGUUAAACCCUGGGCUCAACCUGGGAACUGCAGUGGAUACUGGACGACUAGAGUGUGGUAGAGGGUAGCGGAAUUCCUGGUGUAGCAGUGAAAUGCGUAGAGAUCAGGAGGAACAUCCAUGGCGAAGGCAGCCCCCUGGGCUAACACUGACGCUCAUGCACGAAAGCGUGGGGAGCAAACAGGAUUAGAUACCCUCGUAGUCCCUGAGCGGGCUGGCAAGGCGCAU
rnacentral:rRNA from 1 species